rnacentral:rRNA from 1 species
CGGUAAUACCAGCUCUCCGAGUGGUGGGGACGAUUAUUGGGCUUAAAGCGUUCGUAGCCGGCUUAACAAGUCUUCCGUUAAAUCCAACGAUCUAAUCGUUGGGCUGCGGGAGAUACUGUUGGGCUAGGAGGCGGGAGAAGCCGACGGUAUUCUCGGGGUAGGGGUGAAAUCCUGUAAUCCCGGGAGGACCACCAGUGGCGAAGGCGGUCGGCUAGAACGCGCUCGACGGUGAGGGACGAAAGCUGGGGGAGCGAACCGGAUUAGAUACCCGGGUAGUCCCAGCUGUAAACGAUGCGGGCUAGGUGUUGGGGUGGCCACGAGCCACUUCAGUGCCGCAUGGAAGCCAUUAAGCCCGCCGCCUGGGGAGUACGGCCGCAAGGCUGAAACUUAAAGGAAUUGGCG